rnacentral:tRNA from 1 species
GUGAACGUCAACUGGCAGUAAGGAUUACGGGAGUAGCGUAAUCAGUCUUCCAAACUGAUUACGCGGGUUCGAUUCCCGUCAUCCGCU